rnacentral:rRNA from 1 species
GUCGAACGAAGUCUUCGGACUUUAGUGGCGGACGGGUGAGUAACGCGUGAGAACCUACCCUUAGGACGGGGAUAACAGCUGGAAACGGCUGCUAAUACCCGAUGUGCCGAGAGGUGAAAGAUUUAUUGCCUGAGGAAGGGCUCGCGUCCGAUUAGCUAGUUGGAGUGGUAAUGGCACCCCAAGGCGACGAUCGGUAGCUGGUCUGAGAGGAUGAUCAGCCACACUGGGACUGAGACACGGCCCAGACUCCUACGGGAGGCAGCAGUGGGGAAUUUUCCGCAAUGGGCGCAAGCCUGACGGAGCAAUACCGCGUGCGGGAGGACGGCCUUUGGGUUGUAAACCGCUUUUCUCAGGGAAGAAGUUCUGACGGUACCUGAGGAAUCAGCAUCGGCUAACUCCGUGCCAGCAGCCGCGGUAAUACGGGGGAUGCAAGCGUUAUCCGGAAUUAUUGGGCGUAAAGCGUCCGCAGGUGGUUUGUCAAGUCUGCUGUUAAAGCGUGGAGCUUAACUCCAUAUCGGCGGUGGAAACUGAUGAACUAGAGGGUGGUAGGGGUCACGGGAAUUCCCAGUGUAGCGGUGAAAUGCGUAGAUAUUGGGAAGAACACCAGCGGCGAAAGCGCGUGACUGGGCCAUUACUGACACUCAUGGACGAAAGCUAGGGGAGCGAAAGGGAUUAGAUACCCCUGUAGUCCUAGCCGUAAACGAUGGACACUAGGUGUUGCCCGAUCGACCCGGGCAGUGCCGUAACUAACGCGUUAAGUGUCCCGCCUGGGGAGUACGCACGCAAGUGUGAAACUCAAAGGAAUUGACGGGGGCCCGCACAAGCGGUGGAGUAUGUGGUUUAAUUCGAUGCAACGCGAAGAACCUUACCAGGUCUUGACAUGUCGCGAAUCCCCUUGAAAGGGGGGAGUGCCUUCGGGAGCGCGAGCACAGGUGGUGCAUGGCUGUCGUCAGCUCGUGUCGUGAG